UUGAGCAGCGAGAGAGAAGCAGAAAGCUGUGAACUACCCUCGGCCUGAGUGAAAUGGAGUGUUGCCAUAACCACGGCUUUAGUUAUGCAUUAUCUUAUCUUAUACCAUCUUAUUGGAGUUGAUAAUUUUAAUUUAAAAGUAUGUGACUAAAAAGGCGAUAAAGAUGUCAAUAUAUUAUUUAAAAAUGUUACAUCAUUUCAUAACAAUAACAAAUAAGUCAAUAUUGGCAGAUGUGAUGAGCGUCUCUGCCCACUGACCGCCGUCCUCCGGGCAAAUGAUGGUGGCUUUGUCUCUGUUCAAAUUAUCUUUAUAUCCUGGUGAACGGCCCUUGUGGGAGCCUGUGCGAGGCUAGCCAGCUGACCAGCCUACCAAGGAGUGUGGCGUCGACUCUGACUGGGAACACUAGUUCACCGCGCUGCCCGUCUUGUGAGAUACUUUUGUACUGGUGCUGUGUACGAAACUUGGAACCGCCAAAAUGUAUGAUGUGUUUGGCUCUAUCCGGGGUCUAUUAAAGAUAGACUCCGUGAGUAUCGACAAUAAUAUAUUUCGGAUGCAUUACAAGGCGACAAUGUUUCUUUUGGUGGCUUUUAGUUUGUUAAUAACACAGAAGCAAUACUUCGGUGACCCCAUAGACUGUAUCGUCGAAGGUGUAGACGCCUCGAUCAUGGAUACAUAUUGCUGGAUCCACUCGACCUUCACUAUCCCGUCCCUUACUGGAGCUGUGGUAGGUGAGGAAGUUCCUCACCCUGGCGUAGCCAAUACUCAAAUACAUGGGCCGGACGACCAAUACCAGAUAAAACAUCACAAGUACUACCAGUGGGUCACCCUUUUUAUGAACCUUCAGGUAAGCUUCUCCAGUGUGUACAGAAAGGUAGUUUGAAAAGUGUCUUAGAAUUGUCUAAACUAUUGAGUGCAAAGAUAAAAUUCUUUAGAUUCCAUGGUUGUGUGAAAGUAAAAUUUUACCGAACGUCAAAAUGGAUUUCACUGGAAUUAAUGUGGUGCAGCGCAAGGUGGUUCGUUUGCACCUACUGGUUAUUAAAAGGCUUCAGCUGUAGAAAGUCUUAACAAAUGAUUUCCAUUUGAAUCGAAGUACAAACCUGGUUUCUCGAGUCUUGUUAUAUUCCAGAUGGCAUACCGUAUGUGGCUGUCGUAGAGCUGUUUUAAUUGGGAUUAAAUGGAACGAUAUGGGUAGGGUAUAAAUGGGGGUGCCUAGUAUGUGCCAAUAGUAUGCCCACUGCAGAUUCCUCCAUUCUUACGAACGUGUGCAACUCAAACCCUAAGAGCUUUUGAAUGCCGCUUGGACAAAACUUACUGAAAAAAACUGCAUUAACAUGUGCAAUAGACUGAUAAGCCUGGUAUAUUAUUUUACAUAUGUAUAUUUAGGUAUGUAAAUGUGCAAACGUGCAUGUAAUUGUUUGAGGGGAUACACCCCAUUUCGUCACCAACUCGGUUCGUCACCCC